rnacentral:tRNA from 1 species
GGACCGGUGGUGUAGUGAUAACAUGUUGCAUCUGGACGUGAAGAAGAGUGGUUCGAUUCCCUCCUGCUCCA